AUACGGAGGGUGCAAGCGUUAUUCGGAAUCACUGGGCGUAAAGCGCGCGCAGGCGGUCUUUUAAGUUGGAUGUGAAAGCCUACGGCUCAACCGUAGAACUGCAUCCAAAACUAUUAGACUAGAGUGUGGGAGAGGAAGAUGGAAUUAGUUGUGUAGGGGUAAAAUCCGUAGAGAUAACUAGGAAUACCAAAAGCGAAGGCAAUCUUCUGGAACACUACUGACGCUGAGGCGCGAAAGCGUGGGGAGCAAACAGGAUUAGAAACCCUAGUAGUCC
rnacentral:rRNA from 1 species